GACGAACGCUGGCGGCGUGCUUAACACAUGCAAGUCGAGCGGUAAGGCCCUUUCGGGGGUACACGAGCGGCGAACGGGUGAGUAACACGUGGGCGACCUGCCCUCCAGCUCUGGGAUAAGCCUGGGAAACCGGGUCUAAUACCGGAUAUGACUCCAUGACGCAUGUUGUGGGGUGGAAAGCCUUGUGCGGCUGAGGAUGGGCCCGCGGCCUAUCAGCUUGUUGGUGGGGUGAUGGCCUACCAAGGCGACGACGGGUAGCCGGCCUGAGAGGGCGACCGGCCACACUGAGACUGAGACACGGCCCAGACUCCUACGGAGGCAGCAGUGGGGAAUCUUGCGCAAUGGGCGAAAGCCUGACGCAGCGACGCCGCGUGAGGGAUGACGGCCUGGUGUAACUC
rnacentral:rRNA from 1 species